rnacentral:lncRNA from 1 species
UCUGGAAUUGGUGUUCCCCCUGCUCAGUGAAGUCCCUGUGUGUCCCUUGUGAAUAAUUCUGGAUUUGGUGUUCCCCCUGCUCAGUGAAUCCCCUGUGUGUCCCUUGUGAAAAAUUCUGGAUUUGGUGUUCCCCCUGCUCAGUGAAUCCCCUGUGUGUCCCUUGUGAAAAAUUCUGGAUUUGGUGUUCCCCCUGCUCAGUGAAUCCCCUGUGUGUCCCUUGUGAAAAAUUCUGGAUUUGGUGUUCCCCCUGCUCAGUGAAUCCCCUGUGUGUCCCUUGUGAAAAAUUCUGGAUUUGGUGUUCCCCCUGCUCAUGAAUCCCCUGUGUGUCCCCAUCCCAGACCUGCCCCAGAGCAGUUCACCUCACAGCAAGGGACCAAACUCCGACUCAGCUCCAGGCUGAGCUUCCUUCAAGGAUCUGGAAGGAACUGUAUCAAAAGAGCACUAUAAAACCAAACUCCUCCAGCUUAAAGUGGGUAAAGAAACACGAGGCUUGCUCUCCACACCUCUCUCACCCACUUCAGCUAACUACAGUGGAAAAAAGUGUACCUUCAAAGAGGGUAUUAGCACAAGAAUCUAGACUGACUGUGAGUGUCCUAUUCAAAAACCUGCCAAAGACACUGUGACCUUAUUUCCUUAGCCCUGGCGUGUUAUUAAUUUGCUUGGGAUUGUACCCUGUAAUUCUCUCUGCUGAAGCAAGCUGAAUUUCUGACUCUUUCCCAGCAAAUUGAAAGUGCCCUUUCAGGAUGUAGGGUAAGGACUGACCCUGCCUGCUUUUCAGGCAGAAAAUAGAAAGACAAUAAGUUUCACGAGGUAGCUUUUGAGUUUGGGCUGCAGCAUUACCCAAAUGAAACCCCUGUAUUCAUCUGAAGAGAUGGCCUCAACAGUGGUGGGCCCCUCUGUCACACAGGGAGUAUCUCAGAGGUGAAAUCUCUCUUCUAAAAAGAGAUUAGGACAUGGAAGCACACCUUUGUGUACAGCUCCAUAGGGUGUAAUCCAAUUUAUAAGUGCUCUUCCUAGAAAGAAAGCAGACAAAUCUGUACAGGUUUGGUAUUCAGAAUAACUGAACCUGCGUUCAGGAACCAAACCUGUGUUUGGUAUUCAGAAUAACUGACCUAACACUUUUUUAACUCUUGCAAGCUGCAGUCAAAUGGAUUAUAAAACUGGAAAUCCGGUUAAGCUGUUUGCUUUUUAAUGGUUAAAUGGCUUAAAGGUUUUAGAGAAAUCAGGAAUUUGUGAAGUACAAGUUUUAUACUGUAGUUAAAAAAUGCUAUCUCUAUCCCAGCUCAGAUCAGAUGACAGAUACACUUAGCCUUUGUGCCUUAAUGCUACUGCAUAUGAAUGUGUAUAUAAUACUCAAAACAUGUGUUCAAUAAAAAUUGAAUUUCAGUUAAUAUCUGCAUUAAAAUCAUGGACCCAUGAUUGAUAAAUUGUUCACCUUUCCUGUCCUCAGAGAUGCACAGAAGAGAGCCAGUGAUGAUAUGUUGUCAAGGUAAAACGCCUUUGCUCAGAAAAGGGGAAUAUUGGGAGUUCCUGUUGCAAUGAAUAACAUCAGGGGGAUGCUCACCCCAUCAGGCAGCUCAGGAAAACAAGCUUUCAGAAGGUCAGCAGCUCGUGCUUGUAACCUUGCUGCCAUUUGUCUGCUAGGAGCUCUCUUCAUUGGAAACCUGAAUGCAUUUAUUAGGAUUGCAACGAAGAGGAAGUCUGAAGAGAAUAUUAAAAUACUUGCUAUUGUGCCAGGAAGAAAUUAUUUGUUUUGGCAAAUAGCAGAGUCCACAGAGCUGUUGAAAUGAAAGGUCAUUUCCAGACUGUAGAAGAAAAUAGGAUAUUCUUGUGAAAGAAAAGAGGAGAGAUGUGUGUGUGGGGAAGUGAACAUUGUUUCUGUUGUCCUUGCAAAGAAUCAAAAUGUUUAGAAGUUAACUUUUAAUUUAAUUGCUUUAACCUAUAAUGACCAAACACCGUGUGCAAGCAAUCCUCCAGCCAGGCACAAGUGGGGUUUUUUUAGCUGAAGUUUUUUUAGCUGAGUUUGGAGAAAGAGGCAGGAUGAAUGUAAAUGCUCUUGUUUUAUCUAUCAAGUUGAUAUGAAGUUCACUAAGGCUAUUUUUGACUGUGAGGGACUUCUUGAAUUGAAGAAGAUAAGACACCCCACUUGCACUCUGUUUUAUGACUAGAACUUAAAAUUGCAGUGGAGAAAACAGAUAUAACUGUUGUGCCCAAUUUACUUUAAUAGGACUGUGAAGUUGUAGAAGUCUGGUCUUUUGCUGUCAGUGGCAGCAAAAAUCUCAAAAAUGUUCUUUGGAAAAUAUUAAGUUUCCAAGGAGGAAAUAAAGCUGGGUUGUCCUUUUGGUUUACUUAUUUUUUCAUAUAUAUUUUUACGUUAUUUCUAAGAGUGUAGGAAAAGUUUUUCAGAUAAGAUCUGUUGAUUAUAAAUUGAUGCCUUUCAGAGAGAGAAAGUAAAUUAAUGCAUCCUUUUUCCCCAUAUAGGUGUAUGAGGUGUGCCUGCCCAUAGCAGGGGAUUUGGGACAAGAUGAUCUUUAAGGUCUCUUCCAACCCAAACUGUUCAAUGACAUCUGACAGAGGCAACCAUAUUUUUAUAGAGAAUAUCUCACAUAUGUUUAUUCUCCUAAAGAAUCCUUUUGGACCUAAUUUUUUGUAAUCUGCUUUUAUCAGUGAACAAGGGAGAUACAUUCCAGGAAACUAAAGCAAAUUUCUUUCUCAACUUUGCAAUGAAGUUGGAAUUUAACAAGAGAAUUGCCAAAUACUGUUCUUGUGUAUAUCACCUCUCUAAACAACAAUAAUUUGAACCCGUUAGAAAAGUCUUCUUAAGCUUACCUAGGGGGGCAGGGGGUUUCCCUAAAAUAGUUCAAGAUAGUGAAAUUUGGCAGUUAGGCACCAAAAUUUUCCUCUGAGAAAUUUAGUGAUACACAGUGUUAGGGGGUAUGUUGAAAUCUGGUGUUGUAUAUAUAUUCCAAUUCAAAAAAACAAGGACAGAAAUCAACAUCGAGAGUGUUGAUUUCAUUGUAUUAAUAAAAAUCAGUGAAAUCAAAAAAAAAAUCAGUGAAAUCAAAAUGGGUGCUAGUUGAAGCACUUCAUUUCUUUGUUUAUUCAUCUGCAGGUGACCAACCUUCUGUUAUAUCGAUUUCCUAGAUGCAGUUGCCCUAGAUUUAUUGAUAUUCUCACCCAGGGGUAUACCAGAAAUCUUGUACUCUUACCUUUAUGCUUGAGCACAGUUUUCUAUGGGUAAAUGUGGGUGUUUGGGGUGAGGGAGACAAGGCUUGAGUUUCAUGAGCAGUGCUGGGACAGGUGGGCUCUGAAGGUGCCUGAGUUGCCUCCAUGGCCAUGGGUCAUGCAGAAUUAGGCAGUCUCACCCACACUCUCUGGAAGAUCAUCAGCAAGCUUCUUUCUUUGCUUUGAAAUGUAAAUCAUCAGUGUCUCAACCACCUGAAUACUAAACCCUGCAGAUCAAAUGAGUGUAAUGCUGGAUUCUUUUUAAGUAACCUGUCUUCUGAAGAGUGCUGCUUUGUUUUAUUUUCCUCACCAUACACUACUCUUUCUGCUGUAUCUUGAUUUAUCCUUUCCAACCUUGUGUUGGUGAAACCUGGCAGUCCUGAAAGAGCUUUAUUUUGUUAGUAGGUUUUUGUGGGCACACUAUACAUAAAGGUCACUCAGACACAGAUUUGCUGUUCUGCAUUUCAGCUUGACACUGUGUGGGUUCCAGAUUUUUUAUGUAAAUGGUGUUAGGGUAGUAUAUUUAUUUCCAGCAAAAAGACAGCACAAUCAAUUUAAAAAAAGCAAAUGGUGCUGGACUUGAUCACACACUUUCCUGGCUAAAAAUAGCAGAUAAAAUGCUGGGAGUUGCUAAAUGCUUUCAAUCCUCACCCUAAGGUAAAAUUUCAAAUUAGGAUUUUUUUUCUAAUUUAGAUUUAACAAUCUACUACUUUCUGGGCUGAAGUAUUUUGUUAUAUGGUAAAAUAGUUAAAUCACAACCCUCUGGAAAUAGUGGCUGAAUAUUUCUGAAAUUAGCAGUGUAUUUUAUUAAAGAAUUAUAAGGUAAGAUCACAGGAACUCUUGUUCUUUCUGUUUUUUUUUUUUUUUUGUUCCCCAGAACUGUGUUUUUGUAACACCUGCUGAGCAAAACAGGAUUCUAGGUCUGUAAUAGACUUUAAACUCCAACCUUUUGGUAUGUAAGAGAACCACCUGGAUAACCUAAAGACAUUCUAGAAUAAAUAAUGCUUUUUCUCCUGUGGAUUAGCAGCAACCUUUACAGAGGUUGCAUGCAUGCUUUCUCUUCAAGGUUAUUAUGCUAAUUUAAUUAUUACAUUAUUUUCCUCAUACUAUAAACACAUAUAAUAAUCCCGUUUAUUUUGUUUAUUUUAAAAAUACUGAAAUGCUAACCACAGGAUAAAAAAUGGAAAAUACAUCACUUCCAUCAGCUACAUUCUGUGUGCUAAUGACAAUGAAUUUGAAGUUACCCAUGCUAACCUUUCUUGGCUGUAAACUGCUACUAGAAAAAGGCAGUGGAAGCAGGAUUGGUAUUGCCUUGGAAGUAAAAGAACUAUAGGUGCUAGGGAGAAAGAAACAUUACAUAGACUUUUUUUUUUUCUCCUUAAAUUAAUAUUAUUUUUCUUUUAUUAGGCUUUCCUUUUAAAAAUGAGCUGUGUUAUCAGUAAUGUGAAUCUUAAUUGAGUAUUCUUUUGUCUGCCAUGAUAAUUUUUAGCAUGCUGUAAUAUUGGCUAUACUGUUCUGAAGGUUGUUCUGACUUCAAGUCCUAAAUAAAAGAACUUCUUACGGAGGGCAAGAUAACCUUCACGUGUACCAUAAUUGUCCUUGGAUUUCUAUACGCCUUAAAACUCUCACUAAAGUAAGAUUUUCUUUCCAUCUGUCAUUUUCGUGGGGUUCUGUCAAGUUACAGCUUACAAACUGAUUUUUUUUCUUUUUUAAGUCUGUGAAAGAAAGCUCAUGAAAUGACUGCCCAGGUCCAGACACACAAGGCCUUUCUUGUUUGGCUCCUGUAGCCUCCAUCCUGAAUCACUUGCCUGCCAACUUCUCUAGUAAAGCUGUUUUUUGGAGCUGGUCCUUAACUUAUUCCUUUAUAUUGUGGAUUGGAAAAUCCCUUGUGCAAUGUGAUGGGUCUACACCAGUUAGUGAAGAUGGAAUCUGGGCUCUGAUGCUACACACCCUGUUCCCUUGAGAUCUUCCAAGAAUGCUGAACUUUCAGAGUUAAUUUUUCUUUUUUUCUUUGAUUCUUAAUAGACUCUUAAUAUCACCUUUUCAGAAAACCCGUGCGGUUUCUUUCCCACCUUGUGUUCAUGUAUUAGUCUGAAACUUGCUAAGAAUUCUAAGAGAAAACAGUGAAGGGAAGCAAAGCAUAACAUGGUGUUUGAACUGUGAUAGCAAACACAAAUCUCUAGGAAUAUUCACGUGAAGGGUACUUAGUCUCUUUUUCCAUUUGUUGUUUAUAUUUUGCUUUUUUUUCUUAAUUUGACAUUGUAUUGCUUAUGAAAAGAUCAGAAUGAGUACAAAGACUGUGUAUUUGUAUGUAUUUCAAAUAAAUUUGGGAUGAAAAUCUUAUUUUAAAAAAUGUCAGGUACUACAAUAGGAAAAUUGAGGUGUGGAACUCUGAUUAUGCCAGUUAAACAAAAGGUUGCUAUCCUUAUUUUUUUUUUUUUUUAACCAACAGCACAAUAGUGGCUCCUAUUGAUUUGUAGUCUGGUGCCAGACAUUAUUACUGCUAAAAUAUAGUCCAUGUAAAAAUCAAUGCAUGCAUACUAUAGUACAUUAAUUACUGUAUAGCUUUUGCUUCCCAGCUAGGUGCUUACUGAUUCAAUAUUAGGUCUUCACAUGAUAGAGAUCUAAUGAACCUUUCUUCUGUAAUCCAUUAUAUAGUACUACUGCAGAGCUAGAACUCAUUUGCUCACAAACUUUAAACUUUGUGCCACGUUGUGUGAUAUUGUUGCCACCCAGGCUUUGAAAUUUUUCAGUUUGUUCAAAGACAAAAUGUAAAAUCCCAGAAAAUAAUCACUACAGGAUCAGAUGAGCAAGUAGAAUGUACGUGUGGCUGAAAUGAGUAGCUACUAAAAUCUAUCAUUAAGAAAAAUACAUUUGUUUGUAUAUUAAACUUUGCAUAUGCUUUUUCCUGUAUCCAUGCUCUAUUAUGAACUCCACCAGAAAGGAGUCGACAGAUAUACAAUUUACACAUUUUGGUUUUAAGUGAAUGGUAUGCUUUUACAGAGUUCUCUUUGUAGAAAUCCUCUUGCAUUAAUGCUUGUUUCAUACAUGAAUCUGUAAGAUUUGAAGCAGUUUGUUUAAAAUGGGCAUAAAUACAAUUCAUGAAUGUUCACAAACUGAAAACAUGUAUUAAAGAAGCAAAAUCUCUUGCUUUCCUGUAAAUAGCUGCCCUCUCAGCAAGUCAGAAAAUGUGUUGCUUAGGGUUACAGCUGGAGUUAAAACAAGUAAUCAAAACAUAUUUUCCUUUUUCUGAAAUAAAUGUAGAUGGAGGUGAUUUUGACUUGGAAAUAGCUUCAACUUAAAACCACUCUGCUGCAUAGACCCUAAACCCAAUGUGUUUAAAUCUUGUUAAGCCCAUUUUUUUCUGAUGUGAGUGCUUUGAAACUCACAUUUAUUAUACAUUUUAAAUUUGUUUGACUUAACUCUUUGAGCACCUGGCUCACACGUUUUAUGUUACAUGAAAAUAGUUUGAAUGAUGCAGCACAGUUCAUAAUGUUCUUUGUGUGCCCUGAUGUGAUUAUUCACAAACUAGAUAUUGAAAAUGUUUUGUGAAGCCUUUCUAAAGGGAGAAGAUGCUUACAAUGUUCAAUUGGAUAUCAAAUUUUUAAGAAGUAAAAAACAUGGAUUUUAGUUUAAGGAGUUUCACAGCUGUGUUUUCUCCAUAAUCCCAAUAUACAACCUGUCUGGUGUGCUCAGUUUGAUUUGGUGAAGGCAUUCAAUACCAGCAUCCAACACUGAGUAUUUCUGUUGAGUUACUGCUAUGCACAUUAAGUUUUAACUUUCUGGUCCAGCUAACCUUGCUAGGGGUACAUUUGCAGUAGAUUUUGCUUGUGUCUUCCACUAAUUGAUGCCUUAAGGUUAAUAUAAGUAUGUUGGAGUUUUUGGGCUGUGGGUCUGGGUUUUAGGGUUUUUUUUUAAAGGAAUGUCAUAAUUUUUAUUUUGUUCUGUUUUUUCUUUUGUAUUUUCCCCACUGGAUAUAACAAAAGUUCCCUACAAUUGAGAGAUCAGCAAGUCACUAAUCAAGUCUUCAUUAGGUUAUCUUGUUUUGGGGGUUUUUGUACUAAGUUUAGAAAGAGUAGAGAUGCAAUUUCUAAUGAGGAGAACUGACCUAGAAUCACACUAAGAUCUAGGUACUGCAUAUGUGAUUCAUCAGCACGUUAUAUUAUUUUUGUUAUAGAGGUGCCUGCAUUUCUGCAUUCAUUCUCUCAAAGUCAGUGGCAUUCUUAGUAAUGCCUUUAGUGCAAGCAACUUGUUAGCAUUUUCCAACAAAAAAAGUUGCCCUUUGAAACAGUUCUUAAUUCUGAAAACCCAUUUCAUGGCUGGAUGAUGACCAGUUACAUCCCUAAAUUAGAUGUGUUAAUUACUGUGUUGUCAUAUAACACAAAAGUAGCAAAUGUAUUUUUUCACGGGUAAAAUUCAAACUACUUUCCUUGCAUUUCUGUCCUUUCAAGCUGUUAGGGAAUCAGAAUUAAUUUGCAAAUAGUAUUUUCUCUGCAAGGCUCUCUGGGCCUAAAAUCCUUCAGUCCCUACUUGCUCAUCAGGAAUCAUUGUAUGAACAGGUUUCUUCACUCAAGGCCUUGGGUUAGGUCUUGGCAAAAAGGACAGGAUCUUCAUUUCCACUUCAUUAGACUAGUCUGUCAUCAAGUCACACAAGGAAGGAACAUGUGCUGUCAAAUUCUCUUGGAAAAAUAAAAAGAAGAGCAGGAAUUACUGAAAGGCAUCACAUUAGUCCUUCCUUAUUAGGCAUGUAAUGAGAUGAAACUGCUUUAUGAAAAGUAGUAAAGAAGGGAAGAAGCUUUAAUGUACAUAUUUCAAAAAAUAUAAUAAUGUCUGUAUUUUUCUUUUUAAUUUAUGGCUGAUAUCAUUGAGUAUAUUCCCAUACA